rnacentral:rRNA from 1 species
UUCCCGGUUGAUCCUGCCGGAGGCCACUGCUAUGGGGGUCCGACUAAGCCAUGCGAGUCAUGGGGCGCGCUCUGCGCGCACCGGCGGACGGCUCAGUAACACGUCGGUAACCUACCCUCGGGAGGGGGAUAACCCCGGGAAACUGGGGCUAAUCCCCCAUAGGCCUGAGGUACUGGAAGGUCCUCAGGCCGAAAGGGGCAUCUGCCCGCCCGAGGAUGGGCCGGCGGCCGAUUAGGUAGUUGGUGGGGUAACGGCCCACCAAGCCGAAGAUCGGUACGGGCCAUGAGAGUGGGAGCCCGGAGAUGGACACUGAGACACGGGUCCAGGCCCUACGGGGCGCAGCAGGCGCGAAACCUCCGCAAUGCGGGCAACCGCGACGGGGGGACCCCCAGUGCCGUGGCAUCGCCACGGCUUUUCCGGAGUGUAAAAAGCUCCGGGAAUAAGGGCUGGGCAAGGCCGGUGGCAGCCGCCGCGGUAAUACCGGCGGCCCGAGUGGUGGCCGCUAUUAUUGGGCCUAAAGCGUCCGUAGCCGGGCCCGUAAGUCCCUGGCGAAAUCCCACGGCUCAACCGUGGGGCUUGCUGGGGAUACUGCGGGCCUUGGGACCGGGAGAGGCCGGGGGUACCCCUGGGGUAGGGGUGAAAUCCUAUAAUCCCAGGGGGACCGCCAGUGGCGAAGGCGCCCGGCUGGAA